UACAGAGGGUGCAAGCGUUGUUCGGAAUUAUUGGGCGUAAAGGGCGCGUAGGCGGUGCGGUAAGUCUGCAGUGAAAUCUCUGGGCUCAACUCAGAGUCUGCUGUAGAAACUGCCGUGCUUGAGUGUGGGAGAGGUGAGUGGAAUUCCCGGUGUAGCGGUGAAAUGCGCAGAUAUCGGGAAGAACACCCGUGGCGAAGGCGGUUCUCUGGGACGGUACUGACGCUGAGACGCGAAAGCGUGGGGAGCGAACAGG
rnacentral:rRNA from 1 species